rnacentral:rRNA from 1 species
AAACUCGGCAAAAUGACCCUGUAACAUCGGGAGAAAGGGUGCCUGGGAAACCAGGCCGCAGAGAAUAGGCUCAAGCAACUGUUUAGCAAAAACACAGGUCUAUGCAAAACCGUAAGGUGAGGUAUAUGGGCUGACGCCUGCCCGGUGCUGGAAGGUUAAGAGGAGGGGUUAGCGCAAGCGAAGCUCUGAAUUGAAGCCCCAGUAAACGGCGGCCGUAACAAUAACGGUCCUAAGGUAGCGAAAUUCCUUGUCGGGUAAGUUCCGACCCGCACGAAAGGCGUAAUGAUUUGAGCGCUGUCUCGACAAUGCACCCGGUGAAAUUGAAAUACCAGUGAAGAUGCUGGUUACCCGCGCCAGGACGGAAAGACCCCAUGGAGCUUUACUCCAGCUUGAUACUGGGAUUCGGUACUGCAUGUACAGGAUAGGUGGGAGACUGAGAAACUUGGACGCCAGUCUGAGAUGAGUCGCUGUUGGGAUACCACCCCUGCGGUAUUGGAUUUCUAACCUGCAGCCGUUAGCCGGCUGGGGGACAAUGUCAGGCGGGGAGUUUGACUGGGGCGGUCGCCUCCGAAAGGGUAUCGGAGGCGCUCAAAGGUUCCCUCAUAAUGGUUGGAAACCAUUAGAAGAGUGCAAAGGCAUAAGGGAGCUUGACUGCGACACCGACGGGUGGAGCAGGUAGGAAACUAGGACUUAGUGAUCCGGUGGUAUGAAAGUGGGAUUGCCAUCGCUCAACGGAUAAAAGCUACCCUGGGAUAACAUGCUUAUCACUCCCAAGAGUUCACAUCGACGGUGUGGUUUGGCACCUCGAUGUCGGCUCAUCGCAUCCUGGGGCUGUAGCAGGUCCCAAGGGUUGGGCUGUUCGCCCAUUAAAGCGGUACGCGAGCUGGGUUCAGAACGUCGUGAGACAGUUCGGUCCCUAUCCGGCGUGGGCGUAGGAUAUUUGAGAGGAGCUGUCCUUAGUACGAGAGGACCGGGAUGGACGGGCCGCUGGUGUACCUGUUGGAGUGCCAACUCCAUGGCAGGGUAGCCAAGCCCGGACGGGAUAAACGCUGAAGGCAUCUAAGCGUGAAGCCCCCCUCAAGAUGAGAUAUCCCAUACGCAGGUAGUAAGACCCCUUGAAGACGACAAGGUAGAUAGGUCAGAGGUGGAAGUGUGGUGACACAUGGAGCUGACUGAUACUAAUCGGUCGAGGGCUUGAUC